CCUACGGGUGGCAGCAGUAGGGAAUAUUGCUCAAUGGGGGAAACCCUGAAGCAGCAACGCCGCGUGGAGGAUGAAGGUUUUCGGAUUGUAAACUCCUUUUGUUAGAGAAGAUAAUGACGGUAUCUAACGAAUAAGCACCGGCUAACUCCGUGCCAGCAGCCGCGGUAAUACGGAGGGGGCAAGCGUUACUCGGAAUCACUGGGCGUAAAGAGCGCGUAGGCGGGAUAGCAAGUCAGAUGUGAAAUCCUAGGGCUGAACCUGAGAACUGCAUUUGAAACUGUUAUUCUAGAGUAUGGGAGAGGUAGGUGGAAUUCUUGGUGUAGGGGUAAAAUCCGUAGAGAUCAAGAGGAAUACUCAUGGCGAAGGCGACCUGCUAGAACAUAACUGACGCUGAUGCGCGAAAGCGUGGGGAGCAAACAGGAUUAGAUACCCUGGUAGUC
rnacentral:rRNA from 1 species